rnacentral:rRNA from 1 species
CGGUAACAGAUCCAGCUUGCUGGAUGCUGACGAGCGGCGGACGGGUGAGUAAUGCAUAGGAAUCUGCCCGAUAGUGGGGGAUAACCUGGGGAAACCCAGGCUAAUACCGCAUACGUCCUACGGGAGAAAGGGGGCUCCGGCUCCCGCUAUGGGAUGAGCCUAUGUCGGAUUAGCUAGUUGGUGAGGUAACGGCUCACCAAGGCCACGAUCCGUAGCUGGUCUGAGAGGAUGAUCAGCCACAUCGGGACUGAGACACGGCCCGAACUCCUACGGGAGGCAGCAGUGGGGAAUAUUGGACAAUGGGGGCAACCCUGAUCCAGCCAUGCCGCGUGUGUGAAGAAGGCCCUCGGGUUGUAAAGCACUUUCAGCGAGGAAGAACGCCUAGCGGUUAAUACCCGCUAGGAAAGACAUCACUCGCAGAAGAAGCACCGGCUAACUCCGUGCCAGCAGCCGCGGUAAUACGGAGGGUGCAAGCGUUAAUCGGAAUUACUGGGCGUAAAGCGCGCGUAGGUGGCUUGAUAAGCCGGUUGUGAAAGCCCCGGGCUCAACCUGGGAACGGCAUCCGGAACUGUCAAGCUAGAGUGCAGGAGAGGAAGGUAGAAUUCCCGGUGUAGCGGUGAAAUGCGUAGAGAUCGGGAGGAAUACCAGUGGCGAAAGCGGCCUUCUGGACUGACACUGACACUGAGGUGCGAAAGCGUGGGUAGCAAACAGGAUUAGAUACCCUGGUAGUCCACGCCGUAAACGAUGUCGACCAGCCGUUGGG